GGGCAGAAGGUGGCCACCCAUGAGCCUUGAAUCUGUAUCUUUUGCAUCUAUCCUCGUUUAUAUUCCUGGAGGAAUCUUGGUAGCCCAGUGUUACUACGACAGAUCAUCAUAGACCAGAAGUAUCAUGGGAUGUGGGAUGUCCAAUGCCAGCCAAGAGGGAGUAAGUCAACUGCAGUCAACCUUUCCCACUGAGUAUAACUAACAUUGUAGACAAAAUGCAGAAGAAAAAAACCCUAAAGAAGCUAAAAAGUAAAUAAUAGCAAGAAAAUUGAGGACCAAAGUCAAAACUUUAAUGACCCAUAGCCUGGGACUUCAUCUGCGGACGAACCUGCCACCUCACUGACCCCAACCUUUUCCUCAGUAGGGAUUCUGCCGCAGAGUGAAUGAGCACAAUUCAGGAUGGUCCCAGGCAUUUUAACCAGAAGGAACAACUCUCUCCGUGGGUCAAUUGAGGAAGAAGGCAAAGCCUAUCUGCCUCCACCAGUGCUGCCCUGGCCAGAGUUCUGCCUGUCCCCACACUGUCCCCACACUGCUGUGGACAGGAGAGCCUGAGCACAUGCGGCCAGAGGCUAUGGACAGCACCCCCACCCAGCCUGGAACUAAA